AUUGAACGCUGGCGGCAGGCCUAACACAUGCAAGUCGAACGAGUAGCGGACGGGUGAGUAAUGGCUGGGCAACUGCCUGAUGUAGGGGGAUAACUCCUAGAACAGGUAGAUAAUACCGCAUACCAUCGGAUGUGGUCAUAUGGGAUUAGCUUGUCGGUGAGGUAACGGCACACCAAGGCGACGAGCCCUAGCUGGUCUGAGAGGAUGAACAGCCACACUGGAACUGAGACACGGGCCAGACUCCUACGGGAGGCAGCAGUGGGGAAUAUUGCGCAAUGGGCGCAAGCCGGAUGCAGCCAUGCCGCGUGUAUGAAGAAGGCCUUCGGGUUGUAAAGUACUGUCAGCCGGGAGGCGUUACCCGCAGAAGAAGCAGCGGCUAACUCCGUGCCAGCAGCCGCGGUAAUUC
rnacentral:rRNA from 1 species